GGAGUUAGCCGGUGCUUCUUCUGUGAGUGAUGUCCUUCCUGCCGGUUAUUGACCCGCAGGCCUUCUUCCUCACUGAAAGUGCUUUACAACCCGAAGGCCUUCUUCACACACGCGGCAUGGCUGGAUCAGGGUUGCCCCCAUUGUCCAAUAUUCCCCACUGCUGCCUCCCGUAGGAGUCUGGGCCGUGUCUCAGUCCCAGUGUGGCUGAUCAUCCUCUCAGACCAGCUACGGAUCGUCGCCUUGGUGAGCCGUUACCUCACCAACCAGCUAAUCCGACAUAGGCUCAUCCGAUAGCGCGAGUCCCGAAGGUCCCCCGCUUUCCCCCGUAGGGCGUAUGCGGUAUUAGCCUGGGUUUCCCCACGGUUAUCCCCCACUACCGGGCAGAUUCCUAUGCAUUACUCACCCGUCCGCCGCUCGCCACCAGGGAGCAAGCUCCCCGUGCUGCCGCUCGACUUGCAUGUGUUAGGCCUGCCGCCAGCGUUCAAUCUGAGCCAGAAUCGAACCCUGA
rnacentral:rRNA from 1 species